rnacentral:rRNA from 1 species
UACGUAGGGUGCGAGCGUUGUCCGGAAUUAUUGGGCGUAAAGAGCUCGUAGGCGGCUUGUCGCGUCGGAUGUGAAAGCCCGGGGCUUAACCCUGAGCCUGCUUCCGAUACGGGCAGACUAGAGGUAUGCAGGGGAGAACGGAAUUCCUGGUGUAGCGGUGAAAUGCGCAGAUAUCAGGAGGAACACCGAUGGCGAAGGCAGGUCUCUGGGCCAUUACUGACACUGAGAAGCGAAAGCAUGGGGAGCGAACAGG